GACGAACGCUGGCGGCGUGCUUAACACAUGCAAGUCGAACGGCAAGGCCCUGCUUUUGUGGGGUGCUCGAGUGGCGAACGGGUGAGUAACACGUGAGUAACCUGCCCUUGACUUUGGGAUAACUUCAGGAAACUGGGGCUAAUACCGGAUAGGAGCUCCUGCUGCAUGGUGGGGGUUGGAAAGUUUCGGCGGUUGGGGAUGGACUCGCGGCUUAUCAGCUUGUUGGUGGGGUAGUGGCUUACCAAGGCUUUGACGGGUAGCCGGCCUGAGAGGGUGACCGGCCACAUUGGGACUGCGAUACGGCCCAGACUCCUACGGGAGGCAGCAGUGGGGAAUAUUGCACAAUGGGCGGAAGCCUGAUGCAGCAACGCCGCGUGCGGGAUGACGGCCUUCGGGUUGUAAACCGCUUUCGCCUGUGACGAAGCGUGAGUGACGGUAAUGGGUAAAGAAGCACCGGCUAACUACGUG
rnacentral:rRNA from 1 species